GAUGAAGAACGCAGUGAAAUGCGAUAAGUAGUGUGAAUUGCAGAAUUCAGUGAAUCAUCGAAUCUUUGAACGCACAUUGCGCCCUUUGGUAUUCCAAAGGGCAUGCCUGUUCGAGCGUCAUUUGUACCCUCAAGCUUUGCUUGGUGUUGGGCGUCUUGUCUCUAGCUUUGCUGGAGACUCGCCUUAAAGUAAUUGGCAGCCGGCCUACUGGUUUCGGAGCGCAGCACAAGUCGCACUCUCUAUCAGCAAAGGUCUAGCAUCCAUUAAGCCUUUUUUUUCAACUUUUGACCUCGGAUCAGGUAGGGAUACCCGCUGAACUUAAGCAUAUCAAUAAGCGGAGGA
rnacentral:misc_RNA from 1 species